rnacentral:sRNA from 2 species
ACAAAGGGCUGGUUAAUUUAUAGCAGGACCUCAUGCCCUGCUCCAUAACUGAAUUCCCAACGGCGAAACCAAGGACCUUACUACAUGUUUUCACGUUCCUGUGGACAGAUGAAUGGCCAUGAUCUGAAAAAUUUACAUGCCUUAGGGGAAGGUAAUAGCAGAGAAAUGGUGUCUCCCGUGACAAUUAUAUGUAGGUUAGAACUUCUUGGUUAUUAUGCUUGGUAUCAAGAGUGAGAUUUUUCACCCUUUUUGAUAAAUCCGGGGCAGGAAUAUAUAUACCUUCAAGACAGUUGUCAUGCGAUCGCCUCUGGACAAACCCAAAAAUGGAUAUUAUCCUGGUGAACGAAAUGUCGUCACAGUAGAUUUCGCAAGCAGGAAGGGAAAAGCAUUCAGCAAGAUUGAUACCCGCUCACUGUGAAAUUAUUAUCCUAUCCUAUAUCACAUCAUAGAUGACAUAUUUCUCUUCCAGGCGUAUCGAGACCGACUCUACUUUCAAUACUAAAAAGAAAUUCUCCCCUCGCUAGACCUCGAAC